rnacentral:tRNA from 1 species
GCAGUUGUGGCGAAAUUGGCAGACGCGCUGGAUUUAGGUUCCAGUGGGCAACCGUAUGGGUUCAAGUCCCUUCAACUGCACCA